CGAGCAACUAAAACUCCACCUUUAACAUGUAUACAUACUUGAUGAAACAUAUAUCUGCUUCUUGCGAGGCACAAAAUAUUUGUCUGCAACUCUUUUCACUUGUUUAUCAUGCGAGGAAGAUAAAGUUCAACAGAAAAUAAUAAAGCUAAAUGUUGUGAAAAUCUUCGAGAAAUUUUGAUCUGGACUUCGUAAAACUUACCAAACGAACACCAACCGAGGACGCUCCAAACAAAAUUACUUGGUUGCUACAUACUAUUUCAUUCUCACAAAGGAGAACAAUGAUGAUUAGUUUGCACGCACAAAGGAAGAAUAGAAAUAAAGAUGGCAACUGGAACUUGAAAAGAAACCAUUUUUCUCUCAAUGCAAAGCUCCAACACACACAAAAAUAACUACUGAAGGAUGUAUACAUCAUGGAUUGGUUUAGGUUGAUAAUUGGACCAAAGGGUAAUGGACCAUCAAUUCAAAAGCCAAACAAUACUUGGAACAUCCACGAGUGCUGGGCCACGAGCAAUAUUAACUUAAUUAAAUUGCUUCUAGUGGCCUCAAGCUAUUUUCGGGUCGACCCAUCACUGAGGUGUUGAUAUAAAUUAUCCAACACCAUUUUAACAUCAUUAUUCAUUAUCUGGGAUUUAUUAGAUGUCAAAACCUAACAAAUCUCUAUCUUUAUACCCAAUCAACCUGCAAUCAAUCAAAAUACAAAGUUAAUACUUGCACAAUUAAGAUAACCAAUAAAAUUGCUAUCGAAAACCUUACCUCGUGUCUCAAACCUAAAACGCAUACCAUACCUGCUCUAUGUACUUACCAAGGCUAAGGUUAAGAACACCCAAAUAGAAGCAAGUAAUUACAGUAAUCAAUCAAGAAUAUAUAAAAUAUGCGAUGAAGAUAUAACAUAUGAUAACACAGAGAUCUUUUUAAAACGGGUUCGCACAGAAUAACAGACUAACAUUAAGUUAAUCACCAAAUGGCCAACAUAUAUACAAUAAAUGCAUAAAUGACCCCACGAAAAGAUCACACCAUACUUAUCUUAUUACAUUCCGUGUUGCUUACACCUCGAUAACACAUAUCUCCUCUUAUUGCCCACCAUGCACACUAGACUGAUAACUCAACUCAUGUCUAAAUAGUAAAUCAUAAUAGAUCCUAAGUCCAUGGGGUAAUCCUCUAUCACCACCUCACUUCUCCCAACCUAAAUAGAUAAUGGGUCUCCACCCAAUAGAAAUGAUAAAAAGCAUUUCUCAUAAUCCACCUAAUCAGGGUCUUCACAGAUAAAGAAUUCCAACAUUUAAUCAUAUUUUCACUCGUAAUCCAAAUGUCACUCUCUAUAUCUUCGUGCCUAUCACCAAUGCAUCCUUAGGCAUUUAUACUUUACAUUACCAAAAGACGUACAACACACUUAUUGCUAAUAUAUCUCAAACCCACUAUGGCAAAAAUUAACACCUUUAGUGACCACAGAG
rnacentral:lncRNA from 1 species